rnacentral:miRNA from 12 species
AAUUUGAAAGAAAAUGAAAAAUGCAAACCAAUUGCUCAGUACAACUUAUGUGGUAAAAGUUCUUUUAUUAGAAUUUAUUUUAAUAUGACAAAAACAGUAUUAGAACACCAUGGCUACAAAGUUUUAUACUUACAAAUC